CCCGUUGACAAUGUCUUCCAUUAAGAUCGAGUGUGUUUUGCGAGAGAACUGCUGGCGUGGGGAGUCUCCGGUGUGGGCGGAGGCGUCCAACUCGCUGCUCUUUGUAGACCUUCCUGCAAAAGAGGUUUGCCGGUGGGAUUUGCUCAGCAAGCGCGUGCAGCAAGUGACUGUGGAUGCCGCCGUCAGCUCUGUGGCCCUUCGCCAGGGAGGAGGCUAUGUUGCCACCAUUGGAACAAAGUUCUGUUCUUUGAACUGGGAGGAUCAGUCAGCAGUAGCCCUGGCCACAGUAGAUAAAGACAAGAAAAGCAAUCGGUUCAAUGAUGGGAAGGUGGAUCCCGCUGGGAGAUACUUUGCUGGCACCGUGGCCGAGGAGACGGCCCCCGCGGUUCUGGAGCGGCACCAGGGGUCCUUGUACUCCCUCUUUCCUGACCACCACGUGGAAAAGUAUUUUGACCAGGUGGACAUCUCCAAUGGUUUGGAUUGGUCCCUGGACCACAAAAUCUUCUAUUACAUUGACAGCCUGUCCUACUCCGUGGAUGCCUUUGACUAUGACCUGCAGACAGGAAAGAUCU